rnacentral:rRNA from 1 species
GACGAACGCUGGCGGCGUGCUUAACACAUGCAAGUCGAACGAAGAGCGAUGGACGCUUGCUUCUAUCAAUCUUAGUGGCGAACGGGUGAGUAACGCGUAAUCAACCUGCCCUUCAGAGGGGGACAACAGUUGGAAACGACUGCUAAUGCCGCAUACGAUCUGACCUCGGCAUCGAGGAUAGAUGAAAGGUGGCCUCUAUUUAUAAGCUAUCACUGAAGGAGGGGAUUGCGUCUGAUUAGCUAGUUGGAGGGGUAACGGCCCACCAAGGCGAUGAUCAGUAGCCGGUCUGAGAGGAUGAACGGCCACAUUGGGACUGAGACACGGCCCAGACUCCUACGGGAGGCAGCAGUGGGGAAUCUUCCGCAAUGGACGAAAGUCUGACGGAGCAACGCCGCGUGAGUGAUGACGGCCUUCGGGUUGUAAAGCUCUGUUAAUCGGGACGAAAGGCCUUCUUGCGAAUAGUUAGAAGGAUUGACGGUACCGGAAUAGAAAGCCACGGCUAACUACGUG